ensembl:lncRNA
AUGCUUCCAAGGCCGUGCCCAGCUGUCCGUGGCUCCCCCAGGACGGGGCCGGGUCUGACCGUCCCCCAUCCCAGACGCACCGUCCGGGGAGGCGAGGUGGGCAAGCCCGCAGGAGGCCUUGUCCGGGGUCGAUCUGGCUCGGCUCCUCCCCUGGGGCACCGGCUGUUAGGAUUCAAUGAGCGGAUCCCGUGUGCCCUGCGUGUGCUCACUACGUGGCCAGUUGGCCCCUUGGCCGGGGUCUGGGAACGUGCCUUGUGGCCCCGGGCAGCAGGAGGUCCCAUUUGCGGUGUCCAUGCUGCGCACCUGUCCCAGGUGAGUCGCCCGGACCGUGAGGGCCCCACGCAGGGCCCGUGUGAGUCUGUCCUUCCUCUGCUCGUGUCCAGAGACGGAGACGCCUUCGGAGGGAAGCGCAGCAGUUCCCCAGCGGCCGCGGCCGAGCUCGGGGGGCCGCUGGCCCAGCGCGGGGCGAACACUCCACAUCGCCUCCCGCGGGGGGCCUGUCCUGACCGCCCGGCUCUCCCUGGAGGACGUGGCCCAACCUGGAACGAUCUCUGCUGGCCCGUGCAUGGUGUGCUCUGUCCUCUGCCAAAACGUGAGCCCCUGGGAAGGCGGCCGGCAGGUGGAGGGCCCCGGGUGGGAAUCGGCUGCCAGCUGUCCCCAGCCUGGGGGCAGAGCCCUGAGGCCAUGCCGUCUGCAGCUCAAACUUGCUCCGCCUUGCUGGGCGCCUCCACUUCUGCUCCUUGAUCUGUAGGUUGGAGAUGAUGAUGCCCCUCAGAGGGGCUUGAGGGUUAUGUAGCUAAGGGGCCUGGAGUGGUGCGGGCAUGUCUGGGGCCCAACAAACACUUGCGGGUGAAAGAAUGAGCAUAGCCAUUCCCCGGCUGUCGUGGCUCUGCCACCUGUGAGAUGUGUGGCCUUGGUGACGCCUCUUUGCCUCCCUUGGCCUCAGUGUCCUGCUCUGAACAAUGGGACCUACCCCAUGGCAGCCUCCAAAUCCGUCACCCAGGAACAAGAGACAUGGGGCUCUUUCAAGGAUCUCCCGGGUGCUCUGUGUUGUCCGUGGGGUCACUGAGGUCCCGCCUGGGACCCCAAGUUCCAUCAUGCAAAACACGUUGAGCAAAGCACACACACACAGUCCGUGAAGAGGCCACAGGAUGCAGACGGGGGAGUUUGGGCGCAAGGCUGGGCCUGGGUCGUCAGGGCACCCAAGACAAGAAGACCCCAGGCCGCAGGUCUGUUCUCUGUAAAAUCCUGAGCCGCGGCCGCCCAAGGACCCCCACCCACCCAGACGGAGAGGCGUGGACUGGGAGUCAGGGGAGAGGAAACAGGACAAAGUGCUGGCUCAGCACCACAGAAGGCAGACGGGUCUCCCCGCAGCAGCCUCUGACCAACAAAAAAUUGACGGCAACGAAUGACCAUUAACGGCGCCCGAAUGAAUCAACGGCACUUACGGACACGAGGCCAGACGGGCCGAUAGUACGUGCACAGACAAGUGUGGCUGUCGUGGGUGACACGUGCACGCAGCCAGCCCCACUCAGGUGCACAACACACACCCCUGCCCCCACCGCAGUCACAAAAAACUUUAUUGCUUCCAUGCAUCAAAAGCCGUCUAGAAAAAUCCUUUGAGGAGGUGGCAGGGACACCUGCCUCCCCUAGAAUAGUGGCCCCCUUGGGGCCCAAGAGAGGCUUUCAGAAUGGGGUGCCGGUUGGGGGCACUUCAGUCCCAUUGCACUUGCUUUACAAGUACAUGGAGGGUGGGGGAGAGACAGAGGUGGUGGAGGUAAAGGGGCGAGAUGAUCGAGACCUGGAUGGGGAGAGAUGACGGAGAGACAGAGAUGAGAGAGACGGAGAGAUUAAAGCCUCGGAAAGCUCAUGCAGAACAGUGUGUGACUCUGACUGGUGCAGAUAUUGGCAAUUGUCGUGCUUCUUGGAAUUUUCCCGUAUUUUUAGUUCCAUAAACAAACAAAAACUUUGCAAGAGUUACCAGAGAAGAUACCAAGUGCAAUAAAGUCUUGAAGGACGAGGGACA